GAAGUCGUAACAAGGUUUCCGUAGGUGAACCUGCGGAAGGAUCAUUACCGGUCUUUCCACCCACACCAGUGCGUACCUCUCGUCCCUUUGGGUCCGUCGGUGCUCGCAUCGGCAGACCCAUCUGUGCUCUUGUUCGAGCUGGCGCGCCCCGCGCGGCAGAUCGGGCGGGACGCAGGCACUGUGCCUCGAACACAGCCACAUCUCCUCAUCGGCCUCUCCCGGUCGAGGAGGAUCCCCUCGACGUGCUCCAUCGCGCCUCGAGCGCGGGGGAGCACGCAAGAAUUGUUGAAACACACAACUCUUGUCGAUGGAUAUCUUGGCUCUCGCAACGAUGAAGAACGCAGCGAAAUGCGAUACGUAAUGCGAAUUGCAGAAUUCAGUGAAUCAUCGAACUUUUGAACGCAACUGGCGCUUCCAGGUUCCGCCUGGGAGCAUGUUUCUUCGAGUGGCGCCUCCACCCGCCUGGGCGUGCGCCUCGCGCGCACAUCCGAUCGUGUCUGCCGCGGCGUGAGCUGCGCCAGAUCAAGGUUCGAGCGUCGCCUGAGGGCAGCGUUGCACGGGAGGAUCGCCGGAUCUGCCCGUGUGCCGACGUGCUAGUAGGUCGCCUACCAAGUCGUUGUGCCAUCGAACGCUGUGAUCUCAACCGACGCGGGGACGCGAGGACAUAUAUAUCGCGGCUCCGCCCACCGGUGCGCCUCGCGCGCACCAUUGGACACCUCCGCCAUCGAAUGAAGCAAGACUACCCACUGAACUUAAGCAUAUCACUAAGCGGAGGAAAAGAAACUAACCAGGA
rnacentral:rRNA from 1 species